rnacentral:rRNA from 1 species
GGGUUGUGAGGUUAAGCGACUAAGCGUACACGGUGGAUGCCCUGGCAGUCAGAGGCGAUGAAGGACGUGCUAAUCUGCGAUAAGCGUCGGUAAGGUGAUAUGAACCGUUAUAACCGGCGAUUUCCGAAUGGGGAAACCCAGUGUGUUUCGACACACUAUCAUUAACUGAAUCCAUAGGUUAAUGAGGCGAACCGGGGGAACUGAAACAUCUAAGUACCCCGAGGAAAAGAAAUCAACCGAGAUUCCCCCAGUAGCGGCGAGCGAACGGGGAGCAGCCCAGAGCCUGAAUCAGUGUGUGUGUUAGUGGAAGCGUCUGGAAAGGCGCGCGAUACAGGGUGACAGCCCCGUACACAAAAAUGCACAUACUGUGAGCUCGAUGAGUAGGGCGGGACACGUGGUAUCCUGUCUGAAUAUGGGGGGACCAUCCUCCAAGGCUAAAUACUCCUGACUGACCGAUAGUGAACCAGUACCGUGAGGGAAAGGCGAAAAGAACCCCGGCGAGGGGAGUGAAAAAGAACCUGAAACCGUGUACGUACAAGCAGUGGGAGCCUCUUAAUGGGGUGACUGCGUACCUUUUGUAUAAUGGGUCAGCGACUUAUAUUCUGUAGCAAGGUUAACCGAAUAGGGGAGCCGAAGGGAAACCGAGUCUUAACUGGGCGUUAAGUUGCAGGGUAUAGACCCGAAACCCGGUGAUCUAGCCAUGGGCAGGUUGAAGGUUGGGUAACACUAACUGGAGGACCGAACCGACUAAUGUUGAAAAAUUAGCGGAUGACUUGUGGCUGGGGGUGAAAGGCCAAUCAAACCGGGAGAUAGCUGGUUCUCCCCGAAAGCUAUUUAGGUAGCGCCUCGUGAAUUCAUCUCCGGGGGUAGAGCACUGUUUCGGCAAGGGGGUCAUCCCGACUUACCAACCCGAUGCAAACUGCGAAUACCGGAGAAUGUUAUCACGGGAGACACACGGCGGGUGCUAACGUCCGUCGUGAGAGGGAAACAACCCAGACCGCCAGCUAAGGUCCCAAAGUCAUGGUUAAGUGGGAAACGAUGUGGGAAGGCCCAGACAGCCAGGAUGUUGGCUUAGAAGCAGCCAUCAUUUAAAGAAAGCGUAAUAGCUCACUGGUCGAGUCGGCCUGCGCGGAAGAUGUAACGGGGCUAAACCAUGCACCGAAGCUGCGGCAGCGACACUAUGUGUUGUUGGGUAGGGGAGCGUUCUGUAAGCCUGUGAAGGUGUACUGUGAGGUAUGCUGGAGGUAUCAGAAGUGCGAAUGCUGACAUAAGUAACGAUAAAGCGGGUGAAAAGCCCGCUCGCCGGAAGACCAAGGGUUCCUGUCCAACGUUAAUCGGGGCAGGGUGAGUCGACCCCUAAGGCGAGGCCGAAAGGCGUAGUCGAUGGGAAACAGGUUAAUAUUCCUGUACUUGGUGUUACUGCGAAGGGGGGACGGAGAAGGCUAUGUUGGCCGGGCGACGGUUGUCCCGGUUUAAGCGUGUAGGCUGAUUUUCCAGGCAAAUCCGGAAAAUCAAGGCUGAGGCGUGAUGACGAGGCACUACGGUGCUGAAGCAACAAAUGCCCUGCUUCCAGGAAAAGCCUCUAAGCAUCAGGUAACAUCAAAUCGUACCCCAAACCGACACAGGUGGUCAGGUAGAGAAUACCAAGGCGCUUGAGAGAACUCGGGUGAAGGAACUAGGCAAAAUGGUGCCGUAACUUCGGGAGAAGGCACGCUGAUAUGUAGGUGAAGUCCCUCGCGGAUGGAGCUGAAAUCAGUCGAAGAUACCAGCUGGCUGCAACUGUUUAUUAAAACACAGCACUGUGCAAACACGAAAGUGGACGUAUACGGUGUGACGCCUGCCCGGUGCCGGAAGGUUAAUUGAUGGGGUUAGCGGUAACGCGAAGCUCUUGAUCGAAGCCCCGGUAAACGGCGGCCGUAACUAUAACGGUCCUAAGGUAGCGAAAUUCCUUGUCGGGUAAGUUCCGACCUGCACGAAUGGCGUAAUGAUGGCCAGGCUGUCUCCACCCGAGACUCAGUGAAAUUGAACUCGCUGUGAAGAUGCAGUGUACCCGCGGCAAGACGGAAAGACCCCGUGAACCUUUACUAUAGCUUGACACUGAACAUUGAGCCUUGAUGUGUAGGAUAGGUGGGAGGCUUUGAAGUGUGGACGCCAGUCUGCAUGGAGCCGGCCUUGAAAUACCACCCUUUAAUGUUUGAUGUUCUAACGUUGGCCCUUACCGGGGUUGCGGACAGUGUCUGGUGGGUAGUUUGACUGGGGCGGUCUCCUCCUAAAGAGUAACGGAGGAGCACGAAGGUUGGCUAAUCCUGGUCGGACAUCAGGAGGUUAGUGCAAUGGCAUAAGCCAGCUUGACUGCGAGCGUGACGGCGCGAGCAGGUGCGAAAGCAGGUCAUAGUGAUCCGGUGGUUCUGAAUGGAAGGGCCAUCGCUCAACGGAUAAAAGGUACUCCGGGGAUAACAGGCUGAUACCGCCCAAGAGUUCAUAUCGACGGCGGUGUUUGGCACCUCGAUGUCGGCUCAUCACAUCCUGGGGCUGAAGUAGGUCCCAAGGGUAUGGCUGUUCGCCAUUUAAAGUGGUACGCGAGCUGGGUUUAGAACGUCGUGAGACAGUUCGGUCCCUAUCUGCCGUGGGCGCUGGAGAACUGAGGGGGGCUGCUCCUAGUACGAGAGGACCGGAGUGGACGCAUCACUGGUGUUCGGGUUGUCAUGCCAAUGGCACUGCCCGGUAGCUAAAUGCGGAAGAGAUAAGUGCUGAAAGCAUCUAAGCACGAAACUUGCCCCGAGAUGAGUUCUCCCUGACUCUUUAAGGGUCCUGAAGGAACGUUGAAGACGACGACGUUGAUAGGCCGGGUGUGUAAGCGCAGCGAUGCGUUGAGCUAACCGGUACUAAUGAACCGUGAGGCUUAACCUUACAACGCCGAAG